rnacentral:rRNA from 1 species
AUGAACGCUAGCGACAGGCUUAACACAUGCAAGUCGAGGGGCAGCACAGGUAGCAAUACCGGGUGGCGACCGGCGCACGGGUGAGUAACGCGUAUGCAACUUGCCUAUCAGAGGGGGAUAACCCGGCGAAAGUCGGACUAAUACCGCAUGAAGCAGGGGCCCCGCAUGGGGAUAUUUGCUAAAGAUUCAUCGCUGAUAGAUAGGCAUGCGUUCCAUUAGGCAGUUGGCGGGGUAACGGCCCACCAAACCGACGAUGGAUAGGGGUUCUGAGAGGAAGGUCCCCCACAUUGGUACUGAGACACGGACCAAACUCCUACGGGAGGCAGCAGUGAGGAAUAUUGGUCAAUGGCCGAGAGGCUGAACCAGCCAAGUCGCGUGAGGGAUGAAGGUUCUAUGGAUCGUAAACCUCUUUUAUAAGGGAAUAAAGUGCGGGACGUGUCCCGUUUUGUAUGUACCUUAUGAAUAAGGAUCGGCUAACUCCGUGCCAGCAGCCGCGGUAAUACGGAGGAUCCGAGCGUUAUCCGGAUUUAUUGGGUUUAAAGGGUGCGUAGGCGGCCUUUUAAGUCAGCGGUGAAAGUCUGUGGCUCAACCAUAGAAUUGCCGUUGAAACUGGGGGGCUUGAGUAUGUUUGAGGCAGGCGGAAUGCGUGGUGUAGCGGUGAAAUGCAUAGAUAUCACGCAGAACCCCGAUUGCGAAGGCAGCCUGCCAAGCCAUGACUGACGCUGAUGCACGAAAGCGUGGGGAUCAAACAGGAUUAGAUACCCUGGUAGUCCACGCAGUAAACGAUGAUCACUAGCUGUUUGCGAUACACAGUAAGCGGCACAGCGAAAGCGUUAAGUGAUCCACCUGGGGAGUACGCCGGCAACGGUGAAACUCAAAGGAAUUGACGGGGGCCCGCACAAGCGGAGGAACAUGUGGUUUAAUUCGAUGAUACGCGAGGAACCUUACCCGGGUUUGAACGCAUUCGGACCGAGGUGGAAACACCUUUUCUAGCAAUAGCCGUUUGCGAGGUGCUGCAUGGUUGUCGUCAGCUCGUGCCGUGAGGUGUCGGCUUAAGUGCCAUAACGAGCGCAACCCUUGCCACUAGUUACUAACAGGUGAUGCUGAGGACUCUGGUGGGACUGCCAGCGUAAGCUGCGAGGAAGGCGGGGAUGACGUCAAAUCAGCACGGCCCUUACAUCCGGGGCGACACACGUGUUACAAUGGCGUGGACAAAGGGAAGCCACCUGGCGACAGGGAGCGAAUCCCCAAACCACGUCUCAGUUCGGAUCGGAGUCUGCAACCCGACUCCGUGAAGCUGGAUUCGCUAGUAAUCGCGCAUCAGCCAUGGCGCGGUGAAUACGUUCCCGGGCCUUGUACACACCGCCCGUCAAGCCAUGGGAGCCGGGGGUACCUGAAGUCCGUAACCGCGAGGAUCGGCCUAGGGUAAAACUGGUGACUGGGGCU